CCAUAUCAAUUAGCACCUGUCCAACCUUGCUGCAGGUAGACUACAGCCGGCAAAACCGCAACGUAAGUACACAAACUACAUUCCUUGGUGUGAGUUUUACGAGACUGUUUGAUGAUACAAAACUGUAAAAAAAAAAAAAAAAUCAAAAUUUCCACUCGUGAAUGUAAACAUAGGCUAGCUCACCCUAACUUCAAAUGUUGCUGAUUAAGAAACUCUGCCCUCUAGCGGCCAACAAACGCACCUGCUGCUGACACUCCAGGAAGCGGAAGUCAUAAUGCAGGUUUUUAAAAACAACUAAAAAGUACGCUGAAUAUCACAAAUGCGCGUUAAAUUGACAUUUUUUUAACCAUCUAACCAAAUUUCUUUGUUUUUACACAGGCCUGACAGCAUCAAAACUGGUCAAAUUGAAGGCCUAUGUGUGUUUACCUCUGCUAUAGCCCAGUGGUUCUCAACUGGUCUCACUCUGGGACCCACGUUUUCCCACGAUCCCUAAGUCACAACCAGCUUUUAUAUAAAUCAAUCCAAGCAAAUGUAUUUUUUAUCAAAAUAAAAUAACUUUAAAGACUCAAAUCUUCAACACAAAUAGACACGUUUUAUUGAGUAAAGUGCAUUUCAGAGGACAUGAACUGAAUAUAAUAUAAUAAGUUACUUUCAAAUAAACAAAAAUGUGAUAAAUUACUUCCAUAUGCACAGAAAUAUUGUUGCCUAAAGGACAAAUAGGCCAAUUAUGUGCUUCUAAGCAUGGCAAAAUCCUUUCAUUGCACCUUGGUCAAGGACAAGCCUAAUUUCAGUGUACUCAUAAGGUGUAGAAGGCUGGCAUGGGCUCUGAAACUGUACAAAAGGAGGCACUUGAGAGACAGAGACAUUUAAUCAUGAGUAAUUGUUAAAAAACAAUAAGAUCUCACCUAUAGGUGCAAAGGGAUAUUUUCAGUCGUAGUUUAGAUUCUCAUAAAAAGAAAAUGUCCAUGUACUGGAUCAGAAUUUCAGAGCAUUUCAAACAAUCCAUCCCAGAACUAUCAUAAGUAAAGCAGUCUAUAAGAUUCAGUUUGAAGCUGGGAGAUAAGAAAAGGUGUUGCAAUGCAGGUUUUUCUCUGUUAACAUAAAACAUGGUUUGAUCACUCGCCCUGGAGCUGGCCUCCAGCUCUGGUACUGUACAUGUAAACUAGCUUCAUGUAUAAAAUGCUUAAAUCAGCAUCUUGGGGAGUUUUCCUUAAACUUGCUGAAUUUGCUGACGCAGCAGAUCCACCUUAAUAUUUAAAUUCAAUAAAAUGAGGAAGUUACAUUUUGUUGUGAAUUGCAUCUAAUGAGUCAGACUCUUUUCAUUGAAAAUCUCUAAAAUGUACUUAUUUUUACUGAUGAAACACUUGACCUAAUUUUUAAGUAACAAAGCUCUUAUUCAAAAAUGUAAUCUAGUAAAAGUGCCGGUGCUAUUUUAUACUUUUUUUAUAUAUAAUCAAAAAUAUCCUGAUGGGACAGCAACAUUUGAAGUAACCUCUUCUUUUUGGAGAAUUCCUAUUUUAGUUAUUUGUACUGGUAGUUUUCAGGGGACUCUUAGUGACAUGUAGUAUGCACUUUUAUCCACUAGGUAAUGCUAUUUCACAGUAAGACACAUAUAUUUGGAUUAAGCUGAGCUGGUGCAGCUUUGAGAUAUUCUUUUUUCAGUGUGUCCUCCCCAAAUCUUCAAUUAUUAAGUCAAUCUAUGAGGACGUCUGUCAUUUCUAUGGUCAGUUUAAAACAUCAUUUAGUGUCAGAGGGUUUUGUGGUCAUGUUUUUGUCAGAUUUAAAGAGGAUUUUAAGCUUUUUCACAUCGGUCAUCAAAUACAGAGGGGCAUAUGGAUGUUACUGAGGAUUUCUUAUAAAACCUUGAUCAUGUGGUGCUUUAAGUGACACAACAGGACCUUCAAGUCUUACAAGUCAAUGAUUUGUUUAGGCUUGCUGUCAUUGUUCAAGUUGUGAUUUUGAAAGGUCCUUUUUGGCUUUCAGGCUCAGCGCCACUUCCUCUCCAGAGAAUGAAAGUUCAGCCUGAAGGUGCGAGAGAGUGAUGAAAGCAUGACGGUGGUUCCUCUGUAUGCAUGAGCUAUUUUUUUACAGCUAUAUAAAGGAAAUGUCAUUUUGCACACAUUGUGGCAGUAAGCACAGAGGAACAGGGUGCUGCAUUCACAACAAGUGUUGUUGGUGUCAGUUUCGCACUGUUCAGUGUUGAUUCACAUGGAAACUUCUCAGGUUACAUAACAUGCGAGAACAGACAGAGUUUUUUUCAGGUGUCAUGAAUUGUUUAUGAAUGGUCUAAAAGAUUUAAAACUGAAAUAACUAAAAAGUUUAAGUUUGCUUUGAGAAUUUAAAAAACUUAAGCAAAACUGCAGUAAAAUGGGGCAUCUUUACUAUCAUAUUUACAAGGACCCAUACUCAAAAAAAAGACAUAAUUGGAAGUUAACCCCGACAUUUACAUCAAACAGAUAAUACCAGUUCUACAACAACUAUAUGUUGAAAUAAGGUAAUUCGUGUAAAAUACUAGACUUAAUCUAAUUCAGGCAGAUAUAAUGGAAAACUUCCCCCCGCUCUAACUCUACUAGAAAAGAAGCAAAGGGCACAAAGGACAAUGAAUUUCAAAAAUACACAGUCUCUUAGGUUUAACUGACUUCACAGUUUCCAAAUGAGAACCGGUAACACAUAGAGCAGAACAAGAAAAGAAGAAAUAACGCUCUUACAUCAGACUUUAGUCCCCUAUUCAGGCAUUUUUAUUCUGAAACACUCAAGUGUGGCUUUUAAAGUUGAGAAGCGAGCAUUUGAAUUCACCACCAACCACCCACAGAUGAAUGAAAGUUUCCCACAUGCAUAUAAUGUGGUGGGACAAUAUCUAUCGUGUGCCAUACAGCAGUUUCAGCAACAAAAAGCUCCUCAGAAUACAUCUCUGAGGUGAGUAGUUCAGGACUGCUGGUGCAAGGAAAGUCAUAGACAUUACAGAGUCACAUUUGAGGACACAGUUCGUUUUUAUAUGAAAGGGCAUCAAGAUUGUUCCACACUGCAACAGUGUGAAUGGUUACGCCAUCAGUGUGGAAACAUCUAAGACGCAUUUUGUGUAAAAAUAGAACAAUGCAACUCAACACAGUUUAAAUCAUGAUCUGAGGACAGAAAAUGUAAGCGGACCUGAGUCUCCAAUCUGACCCCUCUGUCCAGAGUUUGUCAGGAAGCUGUUGAGACAGCUGGGCCGCAUUCAGGUCCCUCCUUAUUGUUUGAGAAUUCAGAAAGAAACAAAAAGAAAACACAGCCAACACAAAACACCCAAAACUCCAUAUGCACGCUGUCUCUGUGCGGGCAGGAAGAAAAGUGUGAGAUAACAGGAUAAGCCCUGGCUGCUUGCCAUGAUCAUACCGGCAGGAAAGCUCUUUUUGAAAAAGACAGAAACUGCAGUGAGCUAGUUCAGCUCGCUUACUGAAGUGGGUCAGAUUAAUUAAUGUAAAACAGAGAGGUUAUGCUUGGUAUCUUGGUAUCUUAGCUAAUUACUCUUUUCAAGAGUUUUUCAAGCUUGCUUCUUUUUUAUGCAAAAGUUUUAUCGAGAAGGGCGUUAAAAUGUUAUUCUAACUACAAGUCCAUCUCUUUCUUGUCAUGACCUCUUUUUGAUCCUUUCAAAUAAUGAUGUAAAUAAGCGGUGUUUUGUAAGUUUGCAUGGCUGUGAACUCUGCAUCUGAAAAACUGAACCAUGUCGUUUUAACUAAUCCCCCAGCUGUGUUUAAUACGUGAUACAGACAACCUCAUCACACACGUCAUAUAGGAUUUAUCUUUAGCAAGAAGUGUGGCGCAUUCAAAAAGUUUAUGAUUACCCCUCUUCCUGUUGACAAUGUGGCAAAAACAGUUGUUUCCGAUAGUGCCACUGAACAAUACGAAGGACAUUUUUAAUAUAACUCUUAGUUUAUUUGGAGAUUCCUCGCUAUUCUGUCAAUCGCAGAGAAAGAGAAAAAAAAACAAGACGAGUAAACACAUCAGUGGAAAGUCCAUUGAAAGUGGUGCACAAUCAACAAGGAUAACUGCAGCCUGGAGAGGAUUGUCAGGGAACAUUUAUCCUUGAAACUUCACAAAAGGUGGAUUUAGGGCUGGUGUCACUACAACAAGAAUCUGUUUGGUUUUGAUUGCAUUAGCACUUUGCCUUCACUGUAAAUCACCCCUGACAUGUCGAAGUGAAAAGGAGUAUGGUUUACAGUAUUCAUCUUUACACUCCUCCAGAAAUAGCUGAAUCAUUUCCAACAGCCUUGCAAAACAUUGCUUACGAACUGAAGCUAAAAAUUGAUGUCCAACUCAUAUGACACGCACUCCAGGUUGCUAUGUUCACCAAAACGUCCCCAUGGUACAUUAUCUCUGAUCUCACAUUUGUAACUUCUACUGCCAACAAAAGCUUCCAGUAACCUUUUAACACACAGUUGAUGUCCUUUUUCUGUUCUGCCUUUUAAGACAGUAUGGUUCUGUUUUUUUUUUCAGUGUUUCCAUCAGGGGACUUUUGAGGAAACCCAACGACAGCUUAAAGGACUGAAAGCCACGUUUCUUUGAUGGUUACUUUUAAAACUAACUUGUUAAAGUUGAACUAUCCAAAAAGUAACAGACAAGUUUUCCUCUUUGUCUCAAAAGUUAUUGUGUCGCUCAAACAUCUCACGCUAAAUCGGUCUGAAUGGGAGGUGUUGCUCGUGCAGAGUGAUAAACCUUUCACCCUACAUCACUGGUGGAACAAAUGAGUCAUUUCUUGCGAAUAUAGAUUCACUCUGUUCACUCAAAGGUCUGUUUGGUGACAUUUGUUUUUUUUUUUUUUUUACAUGAGCCAUGCUAAUGUUAGUACACGCCGCUGUCCCUCUGUGGGCAUGCUUUGUGUCACAGCUGCACACAGCCGGUCUCUGGAGACAUGCUGACUGCUGCCUCGAUGUCCCCGACAGCCCACAUCCUACCUCACUGUUUGUAAGUGUGAAAUUAUGCAACAUCAGAGAGGAAGGUCUGUGAACUUUGGCGCAGCGUGUUUAAACCCUUGAAAUGAUCUUGCCACUGUUCUCUACAUAAAAGAAAAGUUGCUAAAAAAUUGAACAAAUAAUGUUGUUGUCUUUGAUUGCCCUAUAAAUGCUUUGAGAGUGUGCACAUUCCCUCAGAUUUUUAAGGCUUAACCCAACAUGUUUGCAGUAAAAGGCAUCUAUCUUGAGAAGUAAUGGUCAGUAUCGCCGGCUUGCUCUUUUUGACACAGGGGAAGUGACACUAAAAUGUGUGACGAUAAGAAGAACAUGAAGUCCUGUUGUGGUAAGCAGCUGUGGUCAAUGAUAAAGAUCUUGGUUUGUCAUAUUGGGCAUUUUGUCUUCUUUCUCGAUAAAUCUUUUUCCAUUACUUGCUUAAGUUCAUUUUUUUGUUGUUUGUUUUUUUAUGUGCAAAAAGUACAUAAAUCAAUUCUUUCAAGGGAACUGUAGUAAAUAUAGAAAUAAUCACUCAUUAGUUUUUGUUAACCGCUUCCAAAUAAAGCCCAGCACAGCUACCAUUGUUACAUUGUCUCCAACAGACCCAC
rnacentral:lncRNA from 1 species